GAGUCCUCAUUCCUCUUUCCGUUUCAUUUUAGCUGCAUUUGUUUGAGCAGCAGGUGAAGCGCCUUUCAAAAGACCGUCAUCUCCGAGGGAAGUCAUCUGUUUUACAUUAAUUGUCCAUUAGUCUCCAAGCCUCUAUCCAUUAACAUCCUCAGCCACUCAUUACGGAUAUUGUGCUCGGGUCCCGCUGUCAGCUUUUCAAUGCAGGGCUGUUUUCCUGCAUCUGACUUAAUUGCUCUAAGUGCCUGUUUCUUUGAGCGUACCAAUUAAUGUGGGCUUUCUUCUUGCGCUGGCUUGGACAGAAAUGCCAAGGUGUUUUGCAACUCGGGCAGAGUUACCCCAUCAAGGAUCUUGUGGAGACUCUGGCCCUCCAUAAAGCAAGCAGGCUUUGUUGCUGGCUUUGAGGAAGCCCUGUGUCAGGAGCUCUGCAGCCAUGAAGAAAUGAGUUCUGCUGGCAACAGCACAUCCAGUCAAGUCUCCAGAUGAGGCUGCUAAUGGCCAAUAUCUUCUGAGCCUGACCCUCGAUGCAGCGAGACAAUAGCAAUUGGUAUUGUGUCACUGUCUGUUAUGUGGAAAUAGGAAACUAACACACCAACCUCUCAAUA